UUAAGCGACUAAGCGUACACGGUGGAUGCCCUGGCAGUCAGAGGCGAUGAAGGACGUGCUAAUCUGCGAUAAGCGUCGGUAAGGUGAUAUGAACCGUUAUAACCGGCGAUUUCCGAAUGGGGAAACCCAGUGUGUUUCGACACACUAUCAUUAACUGAAUCCAUAGGUUAAUGAGGCGAACCGGGGGAACUGAAACAUCUAAGUACCCCGAGGAAAAGAAAUCAACCGAGAUUCCCCCAGUAGCGGCGAGCGAACGGGGAGCAGCCCAGAGCCUGAAUCAGUGUGUGUGUUAGUGGAAGCGUCUGGAAAGGCGUGCGAUACAGGGUGACAGCCCCGUACACAAAAAUGCACAUGCUGUGAGCUCGAUGAGUAGGGCGGGACACGUGGUAUCCUGUCUGAAUAUGGGGGGACCAUCCUCCAAGGCUAAAUACUCCUGACUGACCGAUAGUGAACCAGUACCGUGAGGGAAAGGCGAAAAGAACCCCGGCGAGGGGAGUGAAAAAGAACCUGAAACCGUGUACGUACAAGCAGUGGGAGCACGCUUAGGCGUGUGACUGCGUACCUUUUGUAUAAUGGGUCAGCGACUUAUAUUCUGUAGCAAGGUUAACCGAAUAGGGGAGCCGAAGGGAAACCGAGUCUUAACUGGGCGUUAAGUUGCAGGGUAUAGACCCGAAACCCGGUGAUCUAGCCAUGGGCAGGUUGAAGGUUGGGUAACACUAACUGGAGGACCGAACCGACUAAUGUUGAAAAAUUAGCGGAUGACUUGUGGCUGGGGGUGAAAGGCCAAUCAAACCGGGAGAUAGCUGGUUCUCCCCGAAAGCUAUUUAGGUAGCGCCUCGUGAAUUCAUCUCCGGGGGUAGAGCACUGUUUCGGCAAGGGGGUCAUCCCGACUUACCAACCCGAUGCAAACUGCGAAUACCGGAGAAUGUUAUCACGGGAGACACACGGCGGGUGCUAACGUCCGUCGUGAAGAGGGAAACAACCCAGACCGCCAGCUAAGGUCCCAAAGUCAUGGUUAAGUGGGAAACGAUGUGGGAAGGCCCAGACAGCCAGGAUGUUGGCUUAGAAGCAGCCAUCAUUUAAAGAAAGCGUAAUAGCUCACUGGUCGAGUCGGCCUGCGCGGAAGAUGUAACGGGGCUAAACCAUGCACCGAAGCUGCGGCAGCGACGCUGAUGCGUUGUUGGGUAGGGGAGCGUUCUGUAAGCCUGUGAAGGUGUGCUGUGAGGCAUGCUGGAGGUAUCAGAAGUGCGAAUGCUGACAUAAGUAACGAUAAAGCGGGUGAAAAGCCCGCUCGCCGGAAGACCAAGGGUUCCUGUCCAACGUUAAUCGGGGCAGGGUGAGUCGACCCCUAAGGCGAGGCCGAAAGGCGUAGUCGAUGGGAAACAGGUUAAUAUUCCUGUACUUGGUGUUACUGCGAAGGGGGGACGGAGAAGGCUAUGUUGGCCGGGCGACGGUUGUCCCGGUUUAAGCGUGUAGGCUGGUUUUCCAGGCAAAUCCGGAAAAUCAAGGCUGAGGCGUGAUGACGAGGCACUACGGUGCUGAAGCAACAAAUGCCCUGCUUCCAGGAAAAGCCUCUAAGCAUCAGGUAACAUCAAAUCGUACCCCAAACCGACACAGGUGGUCAGGUAGAGAAUACCAAGGCGCUUGAGAGAACUCGGGUGAAGGAACUAGGCAAAAUGGUGCCGUAACUUCGGGAGAAGGCACGCUGAUAUGUAGGUGAGGUCCCUCGCGGAUGGAGCUGAAAUCAGUCGAAGAUACCAGCUGGCUGCAACUGUUUAUUAAAAACACAGCACUGUGCAAACACGAAAGUGGACGUAUACGGUGUGACGCCUGCCCGGUGCCGGAAGGUUAAUUGAUGGGGUCAGCGCAAGCGAAGCUCUUGAUCGAAGCCCCGGUAAACGGCGGCCGUAACUAUAACGGUCCUAAGGUAGCGAAAUUCCUUGUCGGGUAAGUUCCGACCUGCACGAAUGGCGUAAUGAUGGCCAGGCUGUCUCCACCCGAGACUCAGUGAAAUUGAACUCGCUGUGAAGAUGCAGUGUACCCGCGGCAAGACGGAAAGACCCCGUGAACCUUUACUAUAGCUUGACACUGAACAUUGAGCCUUGAUGUGUAGGAUAGGUGGGAGGCUUUGAAGUGUGGACGCCAGUCUGCAUGGAGCCGACCUUGAAAUACCACCCUUUAAUGUUUGAUGUUCUAACGUGGACCCGUGAUCCGGGUUGCGGACAGUGUCUGGUGGGUAGUUUGACUGGGGCGGUCUCCUCCUAAAGAGUAACGGAGGAGCACGAAGGUUGGCUAAUCCUGGUCGGACAUCAGGAGGUUAGUGCAAUGGCAUAAGCCAGCUUGACUGCGAGCGUGACGGCGCGAGCAGGUGCGAAAGCAGGUCAUAGUGAUCCGGUGGUUCUGAAUGGAAGGGCCAUCGCUCAACGGAUAAAAGGUACUCCGGGGAUAACAGGCUGAUACCGCCCAAGAGUUCAUAUCGACGGCGGUGUUUGGCACCUCGAUGUCGGCUCAUCACAUCCUGGGGCUGAAGUAGGUCCCAAGGGUAUGGCUGUUCGCCAUUUAAAGUGGUACGCGAGCUGGGUUUAGAACGUCGUGAGACAGUUCGGUCCCUAUCUGCCGUGGGCGCUGGAGAACUGAGGGGGGCUGCUCCUAGUACGAGAGGACCGGAGUGGACGCAUCACUGGUGUUCGGGUUGUCAUGCCAAUGGCACUGCCCGGUAGCUAAAUGCGGAAGAGAUAAGUGCUGAAAGCAUCUAAGCACGAAACUUGCCCCGAGAUGAGUUCUCCCUGACUCCUUGAGAGUCCUGAAGGAACGUUGAAGACGACGACGUUGAUAGGCCGGGUGUGUAAGCGCAGCGAUGCGUUGAGCUAACCGGUACUAAUGAACCGUGAGGCUUAACCUU
rnacentral:rRNA from 1 species